rnacentral:misc_RNA from 1 species
UCAGCGGCGGUCUGGCAA